rnacentral:lncRNA from 1 species
GGCAUUUGAGACAAUCCUUGUGGGUGCCGUGGAGAGAUAGCCUGGAGAGGAGGAAGAACCAGGUCUGGGUCACAUGGCUUCCUUCUUUCUGAAGGAAGGAAGCUACAGUCUACAGCCAUCCCUCCUGGUCUCCACAAGUCCAGGGCACCUUCUGAAUGGGAGGAGACGACGUUCCUGGUGAAGCUGAGCUGAGGGCACGUUCAUCCCUUCACUGGCAUAGCUCCUCAGGAUUCCAGAGUAUACUGAAGACCAACUGAGGCACCCAGACUUGUGGACUGAACAACCAUUGGGACUUCUUGAUAGGCAGCUACUGUUGGACUAGCCGGACCACAGCCUGUAAGCCACUCGAAUAAAUUUCAUACAUAUAUGGAAUAUA